GUGUCAGCCGCCGCGGUAAGACGGAGGGUGCAAGCGUUGUUCAGAUUGACUGGGCGUAAAGGGCGUGUAGGCGGUCGGUCAAGUCCGAUGUGAAAGCCCGGGGCUCAGCCCCGGAAGGGCAUCGGAAACUAGCCGGCUGGAGCGCGAUAGAGGAGGGUAGAAUUCCUGGUGUAGCGGUGAAAUGCGUAGAUAUCAGGAGGAAUACCGGCGGCGAAGGCGGCCCUCUGGAUCGUUGCUGACGCUGAGACGCGAAAGCGUGGGGAGCAAACAGGAUUAGAUACCCUAGUAGUCC
rnacentral:rRNA from 1 species